CCUGCUCCUCCAUGAUAGGUCAGCUACAUCAUCACCCCUGCUCCUCCAUGAUAGGUCAGCUACAUCAUCAUCCUACUCCUCCAUGAUAGGUCACCUACAUCAUCACCCCUGCUCCUCCAUGAUAGGUCAACUACAUCAUCAUCCUGCUCCUCCAUGAUAGGUCAAAUACAUCAUCAUCCUGCUCCUCCAUGAUAGAUCAGCUACAUCAUCCUGCUCCUUCAUGAUAGGUCAGCUACAUCAUCACCCCUGCAGCUCCAUGAUAGGCCAGCUACAUCAUCAUCCUGCUCCUCCCUGAUAGAUCAGCUACAUCAUCACUCCUGCUCCUCCAUGAAAGGUCAGCUACAUCAUCCUGCUCCUCAUGAUAGGUCAGCUACAUCAUCACCCCUGCUCCUCCAUGAUAGGUCAGCUACAUCAUCACCCCUGUUCCUCCAUUAUAGGUCAGCUACAUCAGCACCCCUGCUCCUCCAUGAUAGGUCAGUUACAUCAUCACCCCUGCUCAUCCAAGAUAGGUCAGCUACAUUAUCACUCCUGCUCCUCAAUGAUAGGUCAGCUACAUCAUCCUGCUCCUUCAUGAUAGGUCAGCUACAUCAUCACUCCUGCUCCUCCAUGAUAGGUCAGCUACAUCAUCACCCCUGCUCCUCCAUGAUAGGUCAGCUACAUCAUCACCCCUGCUCCUCCAUGAUAGGUCAGCUACAUCAUUAUCCUGCUCCUCCAUGAUAGGUCAGCUACAUCAUCACCCCUGCUCCUCCAUGAUAGGUCAGCUACAUCAUCACCCUGGUCCUCCAUGAUAGGUCAGCUACAUCAUCACCCCUGCUCCUCCAUGAUAGGUCAGCUACAUUAUCACCCCUGCUCCUCAAUGAUAGGUCAGCUACAUCAUUCUGCUCAUCCAUGAUAGGUCAGCUACAUCAUCACCCCUGCUCAUCCAUGAUAGGUCAGCUACAUUAUCACCCCUGCUCCUCAAUGAUAGGUCAGCUACAUCAUCCUGCUCCUUCAUGAUAAGUCAGCUACAUCAUCAACCUGCUCCUCCAUGAUAGGUCAGCUACAUCAUCACCCUGCUCCUCCAUGAUAG
rnacentral:lncRNA from 1 species